rnacentral:rRNA from 1 species
AAGUAGUUUCUGCCCAAUGAAUAUUUAAAUGGCUGCAGUAUUUUGACUGUGCAAAGGUAGCAUAAUAAUUAGUCUUUUAAUUGAGGACUGGAAUGAAUGGAUAUAUGAGAAAUAUAUUUUAUUAUUUUAAUUUUUGUAAUUUAAUUUUUAAGUAAAAAAGCUUAAUUAAAUUUUAGGGACGAAAAGACCCUAUAGAACUUUAUUUUUAAUUUAUUUAUAUAAUUUUAGUAUUGAAAUUAUUUUAAUUAAUAUUAAAAAUUUGGUUGGGGGGACAUUUAAAUAUAAAACUUUAAUUUUUUUAUUCAUUUAUUUAUGAUUAUAAUGAUCCAUUAUUAAUUAAUGAUUACAAGACAAAGUUACCUUAGGGAUAACAGCGUAAUUUUAAUGGAGAGAUCAUAUCUAUAUUAAAGUUUGCGACCUCGAUGUUGAAUUAAGAAAAGUUUAAGGGGUAGUUUCUUUAAAAUCUAAGUCUGUUCGACU